UCAAGUAGCUUACUCGAUCGUUCAGAUCGCUCUACUCGACUCCUUUCAUCGGAGAAUUUUUCUUGUAAUCAAUAAAAAAAACUGCAGUUUUUUGGCUGAUGUUCUCUGGAUCUGCCCUCUCUUUGCCUUGGUUAUGGCUAUAGGUUCGAUCGGUGUUCUGUAUCUGCCUCAGCUUUCGACCACUUCAAUGAACUGUUUGUCUGGUCUUCAUAGGCGAGCUUCACUUCUCUGUGUUCUACACCAGUUUCAGGUUUCAUCAUCUUUUCUGUGCAUUCCUUAUUUCAAUUCAACAGUGUGAUAUUUGUAUGAUCUAAUUCACAAUUGGAAACAAUUUCAUGAAAUUUAGAAUCAGAUCAUUUCAAUUUGUCCCAAUCAAA